UAGCUAGUUGGUAAGGCAAAGGCUUACCAAGGCGAUGAUGCAUAGCCGAGUUGAGAGACUGAUCGGCCACAUUGGGACUGAGACACGGCCCAAACUCCUACGGGAGGCAGCAGUAGGGAAUCUUCCACAACGGACGCAAGUCUGAUGGAGCAACGCCGCGUGAGUGAAGAAGGUUUUCGGAUCGUAAAGCUCUGUUGUUGGUGAAGAAGGAUAGAGGUAGUAACUGGCCUUUAUUUGACGGUAAUCAACCAGAAAGUCACGGCUAACUACGUGCCAGCAGCCGCGGUAAUACGUAGGUGGCAAGCGUUGUCCGGAUUUAUUGGGCGUAAAGCGAGCGCAGGCGGAAGAAUAAGUCUGAUGUGAAAGCCCUCGGCUUAACCGAGGAACUGCAUCGGAAACUGUUUUUCUUGAGUGCAGAAGAGGAGAGUGGAACUCCAUGUGUAGCGGUGGAAUGCGUAGAUAUAUGGAAGAACACCAGUGGCGAAGGCGGCUCUCUGGUCUGCAACUGACGCUGAGGCUCGAAAGCAUGGGUAGCGAACAGGAUUAGAUACCCUGGUAGUCCAUGCCGUAAACGAUGAGUGCUAAGUGUUGGGAGGUUUCCGCCUCUCAGUGCUGCAGCUAACGC
rnacentral:rRNA from 1 species